rnacentral:lncRNA from 1 species
UCGGCGCUUCGCCUGCCAUGAUGAACCUCGUGAUCGGCGUUCUCCAGUCCCCCGACGUUAUUACCCCGCACGCUCUGGCUGGUCCGCGGUCGCUGGUCGUCGUCGGUCGUUCCUGGUUUUCAAUCCGGAUCCACCUUCCCUCCUUUUUUCCUGGGGACGCCCCCAGUUUGGCCAGUGUGUCGGCCUCCCCAUUGUGUUCUCUCCCUAU